AUUGAACGCUGGCGGCAGGCCUAACACAUGCAAGUCGAACGAGUGGCGGACGGGUGAGUAAUGUCUGGGAAACUGCCUGAUGGAGGGGGAUAACUACUGGAAACGGUAGCUAAUACCGCAUACCAUCGGAUGUGCCCAGGUGGGAUUAGCUAGUAGGUGGGGUAACGGCUCACCUAGGCGACGAUCCCUAGCUGGUCUGAUAGGAUGACCAGCCAAACGGGAACUGAGACACGGUCCAGACUCCUACGGGAGGCAGCAGUGGGGAAUAUUGCACAAGGGGCGCAAGCCUGAUGCAGCCAUGCCGCGUGUAUGAAGAAGGCCUUCGGGUUGUAAAGUACUUUCAGCGGGGAGGCGGUAGCCGAAGAAGAAGCACCGGCUAACUCCGUGCCAGCAGCCGCGGUAAGAG
rnacentral:rRNA from 1 species